GACGAACGCUGGCGGCGUGCUUAACACAUGCAAGUCGAACGGAAAGGCCCUGCUUUUGUGGUGUGCUCGAGUGGCGAACGGGUGAGUAACACGUGAGUAACCUGCCCUUGACUUUGGGAUAACUUCAGUAAACUGGGGCUAAUACCGGAUAGGAGCUCCUGCUGCAUGGUGGGGGUUGGAAGGUUUCGGCGGUUGGGGAUGGACUCGCGGCUUAUCAGCUUGUUGGUGGGGUAGUGGCUUACCAAGGCUUUGACGGGUGGCCGGCCUGAGAGGGUGACCGGCCACAUUGGGACUGAGAUACGGCCCAGACGCCUACGGGAGGCAGCAGUGGGGAAUAUUGCACAAUGGGCGGAAGCCUGAUGCAGCAACGCCGCGUGCGGGAUGACGGCCUUCGGGUUGUAAACCGCUUUCGCCUGUGACGAAGCGUGAGUGACGGUAAUGGGUAAAGAAGCACCGGCUAACUACGUG
rnacentral:rRNA from 1 species